rnacentral:tRNA from 1 species
UAGCUCAGUUGGUAAAGAAUCUGCCUGCAAUGCAGGAGACCCAGGUUCCAUUCCUGG